rnacentral:lncRNA from 1 species
UUAKCCUCUGCUGCGGCUGGCGGGGGGUGGCGGCUGGUGGCGGCGGUGGUAGUGGCGGGGAGGGCGUUUGGGGAGGCCGCCUUCCGCGCCGGGAGGGUCCCCGCCGUGAUGCGGCGUCACCUGGGUUACACACCGCGCCUCAUAGGCCCGCAGCGGCGUGGGAGGACGGCUAACGUUGCCACAGGAGGCUCUGGGAGAGCGGGGAAAUGUCCUAGCUGAGGUUGACUGCACCACCUCGGCGCGGCGCGACCCCGUCGCUGUGGAUAGGGCCCUUCCUCCCAGCAACCGUGUGUGGCGGCCGGGGACGGUGCUGCUGGUCUGCGCUGAGAGCCUUGGACACACCGGGCUACGUCUUGCAGAAAUAUGCUGCAGAUCUGAACUUGAAUCAAAUGACUUCACUGGCUAUAAUCCGUAAUGCUCCAAGAAUUAACCAACUAAACAGGAAUUUACAAAUAAAACCUAAGAACUCUGGUGAAGCCUGGGAACUUGGAGGAGAAAUGGGACCAUAUGAGUUUCAUUCUAUAUCUUUAUGAAGAUUUGUCUAUGUCACAAAGCUGGAAGUGAAUAAAAGUGAAAAAGCGUGGAACUGCCA